rnacentral:rRNA from 1 species
UGGGGAAUUUUGGACAAUGGGCGAAAGCCUGAUCCAGCCAUGCCGCGUGAGUGAAGAAGGCCUACGGGUUGUAAAGCUCUUUUAGUCGGAAAGAAAGAGUUGCAAUGAAUAAUUGUGAUUUAUGACGGUACCGACAGAAAAAGCACCGGCUAACUACGUGCCAGCAGCCGCGGUAAUACGUAGGGUGCGAGCGUUAAUCGGAAUUACUGGGCGUAAAGGGUGCGCAGGCGGUUUUGUAAGUCAGAUGUGAAAGCCCCGGGCUUAACCUGGGAAUUGCGUUUGAAACUGCAAGACUAGAGUGCAGCAGAGGGGAGUGGAAUUCCAUGUGUAGCAGUGAAAUGCGUAGAGAUGUGGAAGAACACCGAUGGCGAAGGCAGCUCCCUGGGGUGACACUGACGCUCAUGCACGAAAGCGUGGGGAGCAAACA